rnacentral:tRNA from 1 species
GUAAAUAUAGUUUACAAAAAACAUUAGACUGUGAAUCUAAUAACAAGGGAUUACUCCCCUUUAUUUACC